ACACCUCUCUUCCGGCUGGAGCAGCCUGACCAAGUCCCACUUGCUGUUCUGCCAGGGAGCCUGAUUUUGGCACUGGUGUAUUUCCAGAACCAAGGUGGGUGCCCGGUCUGAGGCCCUAGCGGGUGUCUGGGUCCCUUCCUGGAGGCCCCUUGCCUCCCUCAGCCCUGGCUUUUGGGACUUAGCAGGGGAGGAAGUUUUUUGUUUUGUUUUGUUUUGAGACGAAGUCUCACUGUCACCAAGGCUGGAGUGCAGUGGCACAAUCUCGGCUCACUGCAACCUCCCUCUCCUGGGUUCAAGCGAUUCUCCCGCCUCAGCGUUGCGAGUUGCUGGGACUACAGGUACGUGUCACUACACAGGCUAAUUUUUGUAUUUUUUAGUAGAGAUGAGGUUUCACUGUGUUAGCCAGGCUGAACUCCUGACCUCAUGAUCCGCCCGCCUCGGCCUCCCAAAGUGCUGGGAUUACCGGCAUGAGCCACCGCGCCCGGCCUAUGGGAGGAAGUUCUGACAUGGAUGGCAGGGGUGGGGAGGGCAGCUGAGGACUCUGGAGCAGAGGCUGGGGCCCCACUCUGGCUUUCCCUGGCCCUAAAGGAAGGGUGGGGUCUGAGAGUGUGGAGGCCUGAGAGCAGGGGCAGCACAGACACCCACUCUGAGACCACUUGGUUGUCCCAGCCACCGGGUUCCAGGUGUCUGGGGCCAGGUGGGGUUUUCUCUCCAAGCCCAGAGUGACCUCCCCACUCCCAGCCUUGCCCAGAGCAAGUCUUGCUGAGUUCUAAGGUGAACUCCCACUUGUUCCAGACCAGGGACACAGGGUCCUGCAGGCCUCCCGGAGCAAGCACUCUUGAGAGGGCUUCUCCACGUGGCCACAGGACAGACUGUGCUUCAUCCAGCACUGUACGCUCAAACACACACACCUGAAACAAAGGCUCCACGAACAGGCCUGCCCUUACAGCACACCAUGCUCUUGUUUAGUCUUCCUUAUGUUUUUUGUUUUCGUUUUGAGACGGAGUCUUGCCCUAUUGCCCAGGCUGGAGUGCAGUGGUGCAAUCUUGGCUCACUGCAACCUCUGCCUUCCAGGUUCAAGCGAUUCUCCUGCCUCAGCCUCCUGAGUAGCUGGGAUUACAGGCACACAGCACCAUGCCCGGCUAGUUUUUCUAUUUUUAGUAGAGAAAGGGUUUCACCAUGUUGGUCAGGCUAGUCUCGAACUCCUGACCUCGUGAUCUGCCCGCUUCGGCCUCCCAAAGUGUUGGGAUUACAGGCAUGAGCCACCACACCCGGCUGUCUUCCUUAUUUUUUUAAAUGCCAGCUGUUUUAUGCACAAUUGUCCCAAACUAGAAACAACCCAAUUAUCCAUCAACUGGUAAAGGAAUAAACUAAUGUGUUAUCUUUGUUUGUUUAUUUAAUUUUGAUACAGGGUCCCACUCUGUCGCCCAGGCUGGAGUACAGUGGAGAGAUCACAGGUAACUACAGCCUAAACCUCUUGGGCUCAAGUGAUCUUCCCACCUCGGGCACACCUGGCUAAUUUUUUUUUUUAAUUGAAUGUGGUAUAUUAUUUAAAAGGAAUGCUGGCCAGGUGUGGUGGCUCAUGCCUGUCUGUAAUCCCAACACUUUGGGAGGCCAAGGUGGGUGGAUCACCUGAGGUCAGGAGUUCAAUAUCAGCCUGGCCAACAUGGUGAAACCCUGUCUCUACUAAAAAUACAAAAGUUAGCCAUGCGUGGUGGCGCACGCCUGUAAUCUCAGCUACUUGGGAGGCUGAAACACGAGAAUUGCUUGAAACUGGGAGGCAGAGGUUGCAAAGUAAACCAAGUUUAUGCCACUGUGUUCCAGCCUGGGCGACAGAGCGAGACUGUCUCAAAAAAAAAAAGAAAAAAAAAACUAUAAUGGUAAAUUUUGCUAUGUAUAUUUUUAUCAGUGUUUAAAAAAAAACAUAACAAACUCUCCCUUGGCUCUGCCAUGCUCCUUAUAGGGCAGGCUACUGUAAAAUGAAACUACGGGCCAGGCACGGUGGCUCAUGCCUGUAAUCCCAGCACUUUGGGAGGCCA
rnacentral:lncRNA from 1 species